UUGGUUAAGUAGAAAGGGCGCCGGUGGGAUGCCUUGGACACUAGGAGUCGAUUGAAGGACGGAACUAACGCCGAUAUGCUCUGGGAGCGGUAGAAAGCUUGGAUCCGAAGAUUUUCCGAUGGGAACCCGACCAUAUAAAUGGUAUGUUUACCUUAUCCUGAAUUACAUAGGGUAAGAAGACGGACCCAGGGAACUGAGAACGAUCUAACCUGGAGGAAGGAAAGCAAAUGCGAUUUCCUGAGUAGCGCGAAGCGAAAGGAACUAGCGCCAACCAAGAGGCCUUGCCUCUUGGGGUUGUAGAACAUUCCUAUACGGAGUUUACAAAGGAACGAGGUAGACGAAGCGGACCUGGAAAGGUCCGUCGAGGUACAACCCCGUAGUCGAAACUCGUUCUCUCGUUGAAUGUAUCCUGAGACGGCGGAACACGUGAAAAUUCCGUCGGAAUCUGGGGAGGACCAUCUCCCAAGCUAAAUACUCCCUAGUGAUCGAUAUGUAACCAGUACCGUGAGGGAAGGAUGAAAAGCACCCCGGAAGGGAGUGAAAGAAUCCUGAAAAACCGUGUGCCUACAAGGAGUCAGAGCCGUUAACGGGUGAUGGCGUGCCUUUUGUAGAUGAACCGGCGAGUUACGAUCCGUGCGAGGUUAAGCUGAAGAGGCGGACAGCCGCAGCGAAGCGAGUCUGGAAUAGGGCGUUUAGUACGUUGGCGUAGACCCGAAACCAGGUGAUCGACCCAUGGCCAGGGUGAGUUCACGGUAAACUGAGAUGGAGCCGAACCCACGCACGUUGAAAAGUGCGGGAUGAGGUGUGGUAGCGGAGAAAUUCCAAUCGAAACCUGGAGGAUAGGCUGGUUCUCCCGAAAUAGCUUUAGGUUAGCCUUAAGUGUAAGAUCUUGGAGGUUAGAGCACUCUGAUUGACUAGGGUCCUCAUCGGAUUACCGAAUCAGUCAAACUACGAAUGCAAUGACUUAUCCUUAGGAGUCAGACUGCGAGUGAUAAGAUCCGUAGUCAAAGGGAAAAAGCCAGAACCCGCAGCCUAAGGUCCCAAAGUGUGUAUUAAGUGGAAAGGAUGGGGAGUUGCUUUUAGACAACUAGGUUGGCUUAGAAGCAGCCACCAUUUCGAAAAUGUACUGGGGCUAAAAUACACCACCGAAGCUGCGGAUUGAUACCAAUGGGAUCAGUGGUGGGGAGCGUUCUAAGGACAGUGAAGUCAGACCGUAAGGACUGGUGGAAAGUGCUUAGAAGUGAGAAUGCCGGUUAUGAGUAGCGAAAGACGGGUGAGAAAUCCCGUCGCACCGAAUGCCUAAGGUUUUCCUGGGAGGCUCGUCCGCUCAGGGUUAGUCCUCGGAACCUAAGCCGAGGCGCACAGGCGUAGGCGAUGGACAAACAGGGUGUUGAUAUUCCCUGUACCACCUCUUUUAUCGUUUGAGCAAAUGGAGGGCCGCAGAAGGAUAGAAGAAGCGUGGAUUGGUUGUGCACGUCCAAGCCAGUUAGGCUGAUAAGUAGGCAAAUCGCUUAUCAAAAAGGCGAAGGCUGUGAUGGGGAAGCUCCUUAUGGAAGCGAAGUCUUUGAUUCCCCCGCUGCCAAGAAAAAGCUUCUAGCUGAGAUAAAAGGUGGCCCCCCCCUGUUAGCCGCAAACCGACACAAGGUAGGCGAGGAGAAGAAUCCUAAGGUGUGGCGGAAGAGAAUCUGGUUAAGGAAACUCGGAAAAAUGACCCCGUAACUUCGGGAGAAGGGUGCUUUCUUAAACGGAAAGCCGGCUAAGUGAAUAGGCCCAAGCGACUGUUUUAGCAAAAACACAGCUCUCUGCUGAAAGCGUAGGCGAAGUAUAGGGGGUGACACCUGCCCGGUGGCUGGAAGGUUAAGGAGAGGGUUAGCGUAAGCGAAGUUUGGAACUGAAGCCCCAGUAAACGGCGGCCCGUAACUUAACGGUCCUAAGGUAGCGCAAAUUCCUUGUCGGGUAAGUUCGCGACCCGACGAAAGGUGUAACGAUUGGGCACUGUCCUCAAACGCAGAGACUCGUGAAAUUAUAGUCGCUGUGGAAGAAUGCAGAGGUUACCCGCGACAGGACGGAAAGACCCGUGGGAGCUUUACUGUAGCCUGAUAUUGAAUUGUUGGUACAGUUUGUACAGGAUAGGCGGGAGCCAUUGAAACCGGGAGCGCUAGCUUCGGUUGGAGGCGCUGGUGGGAUACCGCUGACUGUAUUGAAAUUCUAAUCCUACGGGUCUUAAUCGACCCGGGAGACAAGUAGUCAGGUGGGCCAAGUUUGACUGGGGCGGUCGCCUCCUAAAGUGUAACGGAGGCGCCCAAAGGUUCCUCAGAAUGGUUGGAAAUCAUUUCGUAGAGUGGCAAAGGCAUAAGGGAGCUUGACUGCAGACCUAACAAGUCGAGGAGGGACGAAAGUCGGGCUUAGUGAAUCCGGUGGUUCGCCAUUGGAAGGGCCAUCGCUCAAGCGGAUAAAAGCUACGCCCCGGGGAUAACAAGGCUUAUCUCCCCCAAGAGUCCACAUCGACGGGGCGGUUUGGCACUCGAUGUCGGCUCAUCGCAUCCUGGGGCUGUAGUCGGUCCCCAAGGGUUGGGACUGUUCGCCCAUUAAAGGGUACCGAGCUUGGGUUCAGAACGUCGUGAGACAGUUCGGUCCUAUCCGUCGUGGGCGUAGGAAAUUUGAGAGGAGCUGUCCUUAGUAGCGCGAGGACGGGAUGGACGCACCGCUGGUGUACCAGUUGUUCUGCCAAGGGCAUGCUUGGGUACUAUGUGCGGAAGGGAUAGUGCUGAAAGCAUCUGAAGCAUGAAAGCCCCCCUCAAGAUGAGAUUUCCAUAGCGUAAGCUAGUAGAUCCCUGGGAAAGAUUGAUCAGGUUGAUAGGUUCGAGGUGGAAGCUAUGGUGACAUGUGGGCUGACGAAUACUAAUAGAUCGAGGACUUAACCAUAUA
rnacentral:rRNA from 1 species